ACUUUACAAUGCUGGCAACAGCGAUAAGGGAACCUCGAGUGCCAGGUUACAAAUCUGGCUGUCGAGAUGCCUAAAAAGCAUUUCAUAGCAAGGGCCGGGCAAGACCGGUGCCAGCCGCCGCGGUAACACCGGCGGCUCGAGUGGUAACCGUUAUUAUUGGGUCUAAAGGGUCUGUAGCCGGCCGGAUAAGUCUCUUGAGAAAUCUGGCAGCUUAACUGUCAGGCUUUCAGGAGAUACUGUCUGGCUCGAGGCCGGGAGAGGUGAGAGGUACUUCAGGGGUAGGGGUGAAAUCUUGUAAUCCUUGAAGGACCACCAGUGGCGAAGGCGUCUCACCAGAACGGACCUGACGGCAAGGGACGAAAGCUAGGGGCACGAACCGGAUUAGAUACCCGGGUAGUCCUAGCCGUAAACGAUACUCGCUAGGUGUCGGCCACGGUGCGACCGUUGUCGGUGCCGUAGGGAAGCCG
rnacentral:rRNA from 1 species